UCACAAAAACAAGAAAGUGUGCUUGCUUCAAAACUGGAGCAAUACAGAGAAGAUUAGCAUGGUCCCUGUGCCAGGAUGACAUGCAAAUUUAUGAAGCAUUACAUAUAUUU
rnacentral:snRNA from 1 species